rnacentral:rRNA from 1 species
CCUACGGGAGGCAGCAGUGGGGAAUAUUGGGCAAUGGAGGCAACUCUGACCCAGCAACGCCGCGUGAAUGAUGAAGGUCUUCUGAUUGUAAAGUUCUGUGAUUGGGGAUGAACACCAUGACGGUACCCCACUAGCAAGCCACGGCUAACUACGUGCCAGCAGCCGCGGGUAUACGUAGGUGGCAAGCGUUACCCGGAAUGACUGGGCGGAAAGGGUGCGUAGGGGGUUUUGUAAGUUUGGGGUGUAAUUCCGGGGCUCAACCUCGGCGCUACCGCCAAAACUAUUAGACUAGAGUGCCGGAGAGGUAAGUGGAAUUCCUAGUGUAGCGGUGGAAUGCGUAGAUAUUAGGAGGAACAUCAGGGGCGAAGGCGACUUACUGGACUGUAACUGACACUGAGGCACGAAAGCGUGGGGAGCAAACAGGAUUAGAUACCCGGGUAGUC